UACAGAGGUCUCAAGCGUUGUUCGGAAUUACUGGGCGUAAAGGGCGCGCAGGCGGUCCUUCAAGUCAGAUGUGAAAGCCCCGGGCUCAACCUGGGAACUGCAUUUGAGACUGGAGGACUUGAGGACGGGAGAGGAGAGUGGAAUUCCCAGUGUAGAGGUGAAAUUCGUAGAUAUUGGGAAGAACACCGAUGGCGAAGGCAGCUCUCUGGACCGUUACUGACGCUGAGGCGCGAAAGCGUGGGGAGCAAACAGG
rnacentral:rRNA from 1 species